CGCGUGUGCGAGAAGAGCGAAAGCAUCUAAAAGAAAAAAAAAGGACGAGCUCGCUCAGAGCAAGACCAGCGAGACCAGCGAUAUCGUCUUCUUCGACGAGCGAGCUCAUAGCGAGACCAGCGAAACCAGAGAGAGCGAUACCGUCUCUUCAACGAGCGUCUUCCUCUUCGUCUCUGUCGUUUUGAUUUCUAAGUUUUUUCCCAAUAUCAUUUUGCAGUGGACAUGUUCUGAUAUAAACAAUGCAUGUCCUGAUUAGACUGUUAUAUAUUGUGUUGAAUUUCACAAUCCAUUGAAUUUCAAGACCUCUAAGGUAUUUUCUUUUUGUUCUCUCACUCGAUGACUGUGGAUUUGGGGUUUCAAAAGCUAAGCAAUGGAAGGGCGGGUUAGGGUUUCCAAAAUUGAGAGAAUGAUGGAGUUCGAUUUCGAAUAAUGAAGUGAUAAUUUGACUUGGAAUUGGUUGUUUGUUCGAGCAGGUUUGCUUAGAAUAUUAGAAUUCCUUGGUUUUGGGACUGUUUGAGUUGCAUCAUAAUUUGGAUAAUCCUGCAGCAGCUGCAAAUAUGGUGGGGCUGCAGGUCCUAUAUUUUCGUUUUCACCAUUGGCCAUCCAUACACGGAAUCUGUUAGCUGAUCCAAGAUGCACACUUGUAGUGCAGGUCUGAUGGAUAAGUUUCUUCUAGUAUAUCAGCAUGGUUGAAGUUUCCAGGUCUGAUGGAUAAAUUUCUAGUAUAUCAAAGGACAAAGGACAGAAGACAAUCUAGUAGUGAUGAAUCUUAUGGUCUUUGUUUUUGGGAAUCAAUUGACAUUUAGGUUGAACUUAAAUAUCUAGCAUUUUGUUUUUGAGACAUCUUGUGAAUUUGUUGGAAGAAUGUUAGAUAUAUGGAUUGCGUUUGAAUACAAUGAAUUAUGUGAUGCUA